AUUCCAGCUCCAAUAGCGUAUAUUAAAGUUGUUGCAGUUAAAAAGCUCGUAGUUGGAUUUCUGGUGGAAGUGGCCGGUCUGUCCCUAGUGGAUGUGAACUUGUGUCUACUUUUGCCAUCCUUGGGGAGAGCGUGCCUGGCAUUAGGUUGUCGGGUUCGGGAUCCCCAUCCUUUACUGUGAAAAAAUUAGAGUGUUUAAAGCAGGCUUAUGCCAUUGAAUACAUUAGCAUGGAAUAAUAAGAUAGGACUUUGGUGGUCUAUUUUGUUGGUUUGCACACCAAGGUAAUGAUUAAUAGGGAUAGUUGGGGGUAUCCGUAUUUCGUAGUCAGAGGUGAAAUUCUUGGAUUUACGAAAGACGAACUACUGCGAAAGCAUUUACCAAGGAUGUUUUCAUUA
rnacentral:rRNA from 1 species